rnacentral:rRNA from 1 species
AUUGAACGCUGGCGGCAGGCCUAACACAUGCAAGUCGAACGGUAGCACAGAGAGCUUGCUCUCGGGUGACGAGUGGCGGACGGGUGAGUAAUGUCUGGGAAACUGCCCGAUGGAGGGGGAUAACUACUGGAAACGGUAGCUAAUACCGCAUAACGUCGCAAGACCAAAGAGGGGGACCUUCGGGCCUCUUGCCAUCGGAUGUGCCCAGAUGGGAUUAGCUUGUAGGUGAGGUAACGGCUCACCUAGGCGACGAUCCCUAGCUGGUCUGAGAGGAUGACCAGCCACACUGGAACUGAGACACGGUCCAGACUCCUACGGGAGGCAGCAGUGGGGAAUAUUGCACAAUGGGCGCAAGCCUGAUGCAGCCAUGCCGCGUGUAUGAAGAAGGCCUUCGGGUUGUAAAGUACUUUCAGCGGGGAGGAAGGGAGUGAGGUUAAUAACCUCAUUCAUUGACGUUACCCGCAGAAGAAGCACCGGCUAACUCCGUGCCUGCAGUCGCGGUAAUACGGAGGGUGCGAGCGUUAACCGGAAUUACUGGGCGUAAGCGCACGCAGGCGGUCUGUCAGUCGGAUGUGAAAUCCCCGGGCUCAUUCUGGGAACUGCAUUCGAAACUGGCAGGCUGGAGUCUUGUAGAGGGGGGUAGAAUUCCAGGUGUAGCGGUGAAAUGCGUAGAGAUCUGGAGGAAUACCGGUGGCGAAGGCGGCCCCCUGGACAAAGACUGACGCUCAGGUGCGAAAGCGCGGGGAGCAAACAGGAUUAGAUACCCUGGUAGUCCACGCUGUAAACGAUGUCGACUUGGAGGUUGUUCCCUUGAGGAGUGGCUUCCGGAGCUAACGCGUUAAGUCGACCGCCUGGGGAGUACGGCCGCAAGGUUAAAACUCAAAUGAAUUGACGGGGGCCCGCACAAGCGGUGGAGCAUGUGGUUUAAUUCGAUGCAACGCGAAGAACCUUACCUACUCUUGACAUCCAGAGAACUUAGCAGAGAUGCUUUGGUGCCUUCGGGAACUCUGAGACAGGUGCUGCAUGGCUGUCGUCAGCUCGUGUUGUGAAAUGUUGGGUUAAGUCCCGCAACGAGCGCAACCCUUAUCCUUUGUUGCCAGCGAUUCGGUCGGGAACUCAAAGGAGACUGCCAGUGAUAAACUGGAGGAAGGUGGGGAUGACGUCAAGUCAUCAUGGCCCUUACGAGUAGGGCUACACACGUGCUACAAUGGCAUAUACAAAGAGAAGCGACCUCGCGAGAGCAAGCGGACCUCAUAAAGUAUGUCGUAGUCCGGAUUGGAGUCUGCAACUCGACUCCAUGAAGUCGGAAUCGCUAGUAAUCGUGGAUCAGAAUGCCACGGUGAAUACGUUCCCGGGCCU